GAGAAUUCUAGAAAAUUCAAGAGGAAGAAGAGAAGAGAAACUUGAAGCUAGAGAGAAAGAGCUCGGUUUUGGGGGAGAAAAAAAGUUCAAAAUAUCACCAAACAGCCCCAAAGUUUUAGUCGCGCUAGGAGAGCUUCCGAGGCAAGUUUUGGGGAGUUUCGGUAAAGAAAAACAAGUUGGACGCGUAAGCAUAGCUAGUAAGGCGCGGCACAGGUA